rnacentral:misc_RNA from 1 species
UCCUGGUCAACCCAGGCAGUCUCGUGUGACACUUGUAACACACAAUAGGGGUUGCGCUCGUUUCCCCACUGAAGGGAACCAUUCACAUGACGAGCUGACGACAGCCGUGCAGCACCUGUCUAGAACCCUCGAAGGCUGCUGUGUUUCCACAGCAUGCAUCUAGAUUUCUAACCCUGGUGAGGUUCCUCGGUUAGAGUCGAAUUAAACCGCAUGAUCCACUGCUUGUGCGAGCUCCCGCCUAUUUCUUUGAGUUUUAAUCUUGCGAUCGUACUUCCCAGGCGGCAGACUUAACGCGUUAGCUACGCCACCGAAAGGGUCGAUGCUCCCGAUAGCUAGUCUGCAACGUUUAGGGCGUGGAAUA